GUGUGUGUAUACGUCUGUGUGAGAGGCAGUGGGGAUGACAGUCCCAGGCUGCUGUUGUCUCUGAGCUCGGGCCCAGACGUGGAGAGAAUGAAUCAUAUUGAGGCAGAG